ACCAUCCUUUUCUUGGGGUUGCGUUACUGCCCAAUGAACGUUUAGUGAGGACAGUACUGCUAACGCCUAAACAACACGCACGCAUCUUUUAAAGCUUCGCUUUAACAUGGUGCAAUUUUUGGAACA
rnacentral:ncRNA from 15 species